rnacentral:rRNA from 1 species
CACGUAGGGUGCGAGCGUUGUCCGGAAUUAUUGGGCGUAAAGAGCUCGUAGGCGGUGUGUCGCGUCGGCCGUGAAAACCUGCAGCUUAACUGUGGGCUUGCGGUCGAUACGGGCAUCACUGGAGUUCGGCAGGGGAGACUGGAAUUCCUGGUGUAGCGGUGAAAUGCGCAGAUAUCAGGAGGAACACCGGUGGCGAAGGCGGGGUCUCUGGGGCCGAUACUGACGCUGAGGAGCGAAAGCGUGGGGGAGCGAACAGG